GGGGCCGAGCUCGUGUUCCUCCUCCCUACCGGUCCCCAUCCUUAAAGCACGAGUCCGGACGCCCCGCCUGUUGGAGACGGCCCCUGGGUCUGGACAGUGAGCAGCCGGGGCGGGCCAGGGCCGACCGAGGAGGGCCUGAGGCAACGGACCCGCCGCGGCUGGCACACAAGCCUCUCGGCCCCGACUGAGUGGUUGCGGUAGCUGCGAGGGAAGGGGUCGCGGGCGCCAUUGCUGCCCGUCAGAACGCCGCAGGGUCUCCGUCAGCCCUCGGCUGCUCUACCCCGGCUGCGAGGAGCCGUCGCCAGUCCCCGGCCCGGUCUCGUGAAUCGGGUGCCUCGUCUGCCGCCCGAGCCGAGACCAUGUUUGACAAGACGCGGCUGCCGUACGUGGCCCUCGAUGUGCUCUGCGUGUUGCUGGCUUCCAUGCCUAUGGCUGUUCUAAAUUUGGGCCAAAUAUAUCCAUUUCAGAGAGGCUUUUUCUGUAAAGACAACAGCAUCCAGUAUCCGUACCAUGACAGUACCAUCACAACCACUGUCCUCAACACAGUGGGGCUUGGUUUACCCAUUUCCUGUAAAGAAAAAUUUUUGUGUUUUUACACCUGUUUUUGGACUACGAACAGUCAACACCAGUUCAGAGUGUGGUUCAGAAAGGUAACCUACUUUCAGAAGGUACGUCCCAGUUGCUGCAUCUCUGGCACCAGGAUGAUUGUUGGAGAAACCCUAUCUGUUUACUUUAACCUCUUGCACUCGAAUUCCUUUAUCAGGAAUAACUACAUAGCCACUAUUUACAAAGCCAUUGGAACAUUUUUAUUUGGUGCAGCUGCUAGUCAGUCCCUGACUGAUAUUGCCAAGUAUUCGAUAGGCAGACUGCGGCCUCACUUCUUGGAUGUUUGUGACCCAGACUGGUCAAAAAUCAACUGCAGUGAUGGCUACAUUGAAAACUACAUAUGUCGAGGGAAUGCACAAAAAGUGAAGGAGGGCAGAUUGUCCUUUUACUCGGGCCACUCUUCAUUCUCCAUGUACUGCAUGAUGUUCGUGGCACUUUAUCUUCAAGCCAGGAUGAAGGGAGACUGGGCAAGACUCUUACGCCCUACACUGCAAUUUGGUCUUGUUGCCGCGUCCAUUUAUGUGGGCCUCUCUCGAAUUUCUGAUUACAAACAUCACUGGAGUGAUGUGUUGACUGGACUCAUUCAAGGAGCUCUGGUUGCAAUAUUAGUUGCUGUAUAUGUAUCAGAUUUCUUCAAGGAGAGAAAUUCUCCUUUUAAAGAAAGAAAAGAGGAGGACUCUCAUACAACUCUGCAUGAAACACCAACGACAGGGAAUCACUAUCGGAACAGUCACCAACCUUGAAGGUGGCAGAGUGCCCAGAUGAAGUUGGCCUGCUUUCUAAAGGAAAAUACUGCAACCAGAAGAUUUGCCUGUGAUGCAACAGCAAGAACUGCCUUGUGAAACCCAAGUCAGAGCACACCACUCCUGUGUUCAAAACCUCCAAUCAUUUCAGAGGAAAAAGCUGAGGGCUGGGAGCUACAUGACCAUUUCUUUUCUUCCUCCGACCCCUACUAUUCUACUCAUUGUUCAGCUGUGCUCCAUCCACACUGGCCUCUUGUUGUUGCUUAAGUAUAUCAAGUGUCUAUGAAGGACCUAAACGCCACCUUCUGAGUAGGGGACCCUAGGCCAUCAUAUCCAUCCUCCAAUUCCCUACUGUCUCUUCCUUUGUUUUUAUUGCUACCUGAUAUAUUUUAAUUGUUGACUUGUUUACUGUCCACCUCCCUGCACUAGAAUGUGAGCCCCCAUUAAGGCAGGGGUUUGUAUCUUUUUUGUUCACUGCUGUAUUCCCUGGUGCUUAAAACAAUGUCUGGCACACAAUAAGUGCACAAUAAAUAUUUUGAGAUUUUAUAUAAUAUUCAUUU